UCAGAAAACAUUGUGGAACCUUCUGGACAAGGGGAUGCAAAGAAGGAAAAGCCAAGUGGAGUGUGGGCACACGCAGACCACCCCGAUGGUGUUGAUUUCCAUGACUUAAAUGUGAGUCGAGAGAUUUUGAGCCUCCCCAAGGUCACACAAAUCUUUGAGAGCCCCAAGACCAGAGUCCGGUUGCCAUGACACUGCGGCAUCAUAAUCCUACUUUGGGGGAGCUUUUAUGGGCAUCUCCCUCUGCUGUGGGAGCUCCGGUGACAUUUCAGCUGGGAAAAUGUCUGACCCUGGAAAUGCAUCUUAAAAUGCCACCGUAUCAGACCAGACACUCCUCCAUUUGUCCCUCCAGUUAAGGAGUGCUGGGGAGCUUCUUGUGUUUGCUAAUCUCUGGGAUGCCUCCCUGUCCCCUGUUGGACUUCCCAGUCCUUCCAACCCCCCUCCCCCACAGGUGUCACCAAUACCCUGCAUUAAGUUCUUUGUUUCAGGUAGAGUGGUUCCUGUUUUCCCCGUUGGACCCCCAGUGAUACACCCAAUAUUAUACCAGGCACUUUGUCUUCACAAGUCUUAAGUGGUACAAUGUAUUGUUCCCAUUUUACAGAGCAGGAAGUUGAGGCUUAAAGGGUUAAAUUAUUUGCCCAGGGUAAUAUAGCAAGAAUCCUAUUUCAUCAAGUCUAAGGUGAGCAUUUUCCCUACAUUUUAACAUCCUUGGAAUGGGAAUGCUUUCUAUCAUGGACAUCAUUGUGAAGUUUUCAGAAUAUGGAGAAAGUUUAAGAUCGCCCUUCUGAUAAUCAGACUGUGAUGUUACCAGAAGAAUUAGAAUGAGACAUAGGUGAGGCCACUUUGUGACCACAAAGAUGACUCAGUGAUUGCUGCUGCCUUUUUUUUUUUGGUAAUAUUUAUUCAUUUUUGAGAGAGAGAGAGAGCGCGCGCGUAUGCGAGCUGGAGGAGGGACGGAGAGACGGAGACAUAGAAUCUGAAGCAGGCUCCAGGCUCCGAGCUGUCACCACAGAGCCCGACGCGGGGCUGGAACCCGCUUGAACUGUGAGAUCAUGAUCUGAACUACAGUUGGACGCCCAACCAAUCUGAGCCACUGAGGUGCCCCGCUGCUUCUUUAUCAGAUCGGAGAUAACACUAACCCUGCUUACAUCCUCCUGUUUCCUAGAGGAUACUCAGUCUCUAAAAUGCCUCUGCUUUUUGACAGCAUUCAAUCCAGAACUGGUCCCCACUUCCCUAAGUCCUCCACAGAACCAUGGAACACAAGCCCCAAUGUAAAGAGACUCCUAUGAAGACUUCCCCUAGGGUACGUUCUCCUUUACAGCAGCAAGUUAAGUAAACCUAACUUUUUUUUUUUUUUUUUUGAUAACAGCUGUGUUCCUGGUGGUCUUUGGUCGGAGGGCCUUGACAACCUUAGCCAAUUUAAUUUGCAUACAUUUUCAUUUUUAUGUAUAUGAAGACAAAUAUGAUAAAUGUCUGUCAAAGUAUCAGUAAGUCUGGAAGAGAUCUUGAACUAUAAGAUACAAUACAAUAUGAGAAAUCGUGUCAGAAUUUGGCAGAGUUUUUUUCUUUUCAAUGCUUAUUUAUUUUGAGGGAAAGACGAGCAGGGGAGGGGCAGAGAGAGAGAGGGAGGGAGGGAGGGAGAGAGAAUCCCACNNNNNNNNNNNNNNNNNNNNNNNNNNNNNNGGGGGACUUGAACUCCCCAACCGUGAGAUCAUGGCCUGACCCGACAUCAAGAGUCGGAUGCUUAACCGAGUGAGUCACCCAGGCGCCCCUGGCAGAGUUUUUUUUGUAAGGAUACAUAAAAUAAUGUCUUGUCCUGCUAGCACGAUAUCUUAGAUUUAAUGAAACAUGGUUUGUUGCAAAAGCAGGACUCAGCUCUGGCUCUGCCUGUCCUGUCCUUGCUCUUUCCAUUACAGUUCUGUUCUGCUUCUCUGUGAACUUGAAGUACUGGGUUUUUGUUUUGUUUUGUUUUGUUUUAAUGUUUAUUUAUUUUUGAGAAAGGGACAGAAGCAGAGACAAAGCGGGGGGGGGGGGGGGGGGGGGGGGGGGGGCCANNGAAGCAGGCUCCAGGCUCCUAGCUGUCAGCACGGAGCCCGAUGCGGGUCUCGAACCCAUGAACCGUGAGAUCAUGACCCGAGCCAACGUCAGAUGCUUCGCUGAUUGAGCCACCCAAGCGCUCACUUAUUAAAUGAACAAAAGGGUAGAUAGUAUUAGCUCCGCUAUAUACAUGAAGAAAUCAAAUCUGAGAGAAAUCAGUCCUUUGAGGUCAAGCAGCUUGCCAGCCACAGAGCAAUUCCGUCCCACUGCAAAACCAGGGCUCUUUCCCCCUGUCACACCUGCUGCUGAGCCAGCCCUCUCUGCACCGAGCACUUGAGAGGGAGCUCCGGACCAUCUUAGGUGGAAUUCUCAUCCACCGGCUGCAUAGUCAGAGCGAAAUGAGAGCUUGCGGAAUCUCUAUUGUGGAGAUAGCACCACGCGGAGGAGAGCGGGUAGGCGUUUCCUAGAUAAGGACAUCUGUAACUUGUCUUUGGACUUUGUGAAUUUGGCUUUGGAAUAUGAGAUUCCUAAAACAGGAAGGGCAGCCUGGAGAUAGGAGAGUUGGGGACGAAUUGCCUGUUUCCAGCAAUUCGCUGCUCCAGGCCACUCUCCGUAAUGUCUCCUGGGCCAGAGGCCCAAGCUGGGAUGAAGCAUUUCCUUUGGGUACAGCUUUUGCUAUUGGUGGCAUUUUAAGCCUCCGUGCUGAGGGGACAGUGAAUGGGGUGCUGCAGGAAAUAAAGGAGCUCUAAAUGUGGAGAGGGCUGUUGACGACUAAGAAAGCGGGUGCAUGUGUGGCUUUGCUCCUAACUUGGCAUUUUGUAGUGGCGUUCAGCAAAAGCCGUAAUAAAUAUCCGUCCAUGCUCUUCGGCUCAGUAAUCCCAUUGCCAAGAGUUACCCUGAAGUCAUCCAAAAGAAGAAAAAUAAUGACUCAAGGCAGAUACAGCAGCGUUUGCCACUUGAACUACUCAAUCCUUAAAACUUAGGACACUCUUACUCCUGGGUGACAUUUUACUCAGUUCUUACAGGUAGUCAGAUGUCCCCUUCCCUUGGCUCUGGACUCAGUUGGGACAGCUCUACUAUGAAAUGGGCAUAAGGGCACAGCACACUGUGAUGGUUUGUUUUCAUGUCUCAGUCCCUUGUGGGCUGUGGGCUCCUGGAGGGCAGGUCCAUCUUUCUGUCCCUCUUUCUAGUUCCAGCAUGGGCCCAGGGGCUGUGGUAGCACCAGCUUGGAGCCUGUAUGUCAGGGCUCUUGUUGCAAAAAUGUCAACUCAAAGUAGCUCAAACAAAAUGGAUUUGUUGACUCUUGGAUUUCAGGGAAGGGCUGAAUACCCAAUCAUGGGAAGAGCAGGGACACGGGCAGGGUCUGGGGCUAACUGGACCCAGGAAAUGAAUGCCACUAGGACAUUCUUUUCACCUCUGGCCUCUGCCUCUUUCUGUAUAUCAGCUUUAUUUUCUCCUUAUAGAUAGGCUUUUCCCAAAUAGCAGGUGAUAUGGUCGCUAUUUCCAUAGACAAGCUUGUAACUCUAUGUUUCAAACCUCCUUUCCCCUCCACUGGCCACAUGUGCUUCUGUGCUGGCCUCUGUAGGACGCACUCAUAUCACCAAAUGACUUCUGGCCCUGUACUUUGGUGCCAGCAAAUGAGCUCAAUGAGCUUAGUGGGCAAGAGAACUUCUGGAAGCCAUUCCUACUGAGGACAGCUAUCAAUAACUAUAUAGGGCAGUGGCUAUGAACUAUGUAAAUCUAUAGCAGUAAACCACCUCUCCCGAACUGCUGAAACAUUACUGAACUCAGCGGUUGGAAAAUGCCAACAACUGGGCCAUCUCCGCUUGAUCUGAGGGGAAGAAUGGGAGAAAAGAAGGCAAAAACAAAAAAACAAGCAAAACCCUCAGCCAAUCAAUGCAAUAAGAAUUUUGGGGAUGAAUGAAUACAAUAGUAAAAUACUAGAAAUAACCACAAUGUCUAACAACAGGAACCGGCUAACAAAUGAUGGUGUGUUAGCACCAAAAAGAAUAGAUAAUCCAGAUUGUAACAACCUGGAAAAGCAUUUAUGAAAUAACGUUAAGUGUGCAAACCAACAAACACGUAGGCUGUGAUUAUGUGGAAGCAAAAAAUGGAAUAACAUUGAUACAGAUCAAAAGUAAACCUGAAGGGGGGUACCUGGGUGCCUCAGCUGGUUGAGCGUCCAAUUCUUGAUUUCAGCUCAGGUCAUGAUCAGGGUCGUGGGAUCAAGCCCCGUGUCGGGCUCUGUACUGAGUGUGGAGCCUGCUUAAGAUUCUGUCUCUCUUUGCCCCUCUUCCCCACUCGAGUUCUCUCUUUCUCACUCUAAAAAAAAAAAAAAGUAAACAUGAGAAACAGAAAUAAAUGUGUUGUGAUAACAGAAUGAUUGAUGAAAACGUUCAUUAACACAUGCAAAAUGUUGUGAGUACUCUACGAUUCACACAAACAUUAGAAUAAUCUAUUUUUUAGGGGCGCCUGGGUGACUCGGUUGAAUGUCCGACUUUGGCUCAGGUCAUGAUCUCUUGGUCCGUGAGUUCGAGCCCCGCGUCGGGCUCUGUGCUGACAGCUCAGAGCCUGGAGCCUGCUUCAGACUCUGUGUCUCCCUUUCUGCCCCUCCCCUGCUCUCUCUCUCUCUCUCUCUCAAAAAUAAACAUUAAAAAAUAUUUUUCUAAGAAGAAAUAUGGUCUAUGUCUUAAAAAUGUUUUAUUUAUUUUUGAGAGAGAGAGUGUGAGUGGGGGAGGGACAGAGAGAGAGGGAGACAGAAGAUCCUAAGCAGUCUCAGUGCUAACAGCAGCGAGCCCGACGCGGGGCUCGAACUCGCGAACCGUGACACCGUGACCUGAGCUGAAGCUAGAUGCUCAACCGGCUGAGCCCCCCCAGGCACCCCUGAUCUAUGUUUUUAUAUAGAAAGGUAUUCAUGAGAUUUUAACUGGCAAUAGAGAUUACAAAACUAUGUAUAUCGUGAUCCUGAUUAUGUUAGAAAAAGCACCAGUGUGGUUACAUAUAUGCAGGAAUGAACAGGAAGCUAUUAACGUUGGUUAACCCUGGAUGGUGGGAUUAUGGCUCAUUUUCACAUCUUAAAGUUUUUUUUCCAUCUGUAGUUUUUCUCAUCUGUAGUUUUACUUGUAGAAUCGCGAUUUUAAGGAUAGUAAUUCCUACUAAAGGAAAAAAAGAUCCCAAUGCAGCAGACAUUAGACAAAUGUCUCAUAAGGCAGGAAUGACAAGUAUUUGGCCCAGUAGCUGUGGUGAACUGGCUUGUUUUCAACUAUUUCACUCCCCCUGUAAUAAGAUUACACGCCCAGCCUCGUUACCUUGAGACUUUUCAGUGCCUCUUACUAGGCGGGGAAUACCUUCCCAUCCCACUGACUUUGGGCUUGGCAACGUGACUUGCCCUGGCCGGGGGAGAGUGAGCUAGCGUGAAGGAAGCGAUAUCCUAGCCGAGGCUGUGUGGGUAUUUGCGUGCUGUGGGUUGGCCCCUCCUGGCGUGUGCCGUCCACCAUGACAAGAGCACGCUGCCCCUCCAGCCCGGGUCCUGGAAUGGGAGACACCCAAGUGCGCCCGAGCCCAGCUGGCCUAGGAGAGGCGCCGUUGACCCACAGACCCGUGAGCAAGAAAUAAACACUUGCUUUCGUAAAUCACUGCGUUUCAGGGUUUGUUACGCAGCGUUGCCACAACAAGCUAAUGCUUCCAGACCUUGUGUUCUCUCCCCAACGCCCUGGUUAUUAUUAUUUUUUAAAUGUAACAGGGCUGAGGGUGGCAUGAGGGGGACAAGCCUUCUUGGUUUGCUCGGGUGACAGAGGGCUUUCCUGGCAUGUGGGGCAUUCAGGUUAUUAAAAAUAGCUUUAGGAGAUAUAAUUUACAUUCCGUACAAUUCACGCAUCUAAAGCGUACAAUUCCGUGUGCAAUCUACAUCACUGCAGUAUGAUUUCAGAACAUUUUCGCCCCUCUUAAAAGAAACCCCAUACCCACUAGCAGUCACUACCCAUUGUCCAUCGCCACCCCCCCCCAUCUACUUACUGUCUCUAUACAUUUGCAUAUUCUGGGCACUUCGUAUAAAGGGAAUCGUACGGUAUUGGCCUUUUGUGAUUGGCUUUUUUGUGUGUGAUUGGCUUUUAAUUAGCAAAAUGUUUCCCAAGUUCAUUCCUCUAACAUGUAUCAGUGCUUUUUUUUUUAUGUUUAUUUUAUUAUUUUUGAGAGAGAGCGAGAGAGAGACGGAGCAUGAGCAGGGGAGGGGCAGAGAGUGAGAGGGAGACAUAGAAUCUGAAACAGGCUCCAGGCUCUGAGCUGUCAGCCCAGAGCCCCCUGUGGGGCUCCAACUCUUGGGAACGGAGAGAUCAUGACCUGAGCCGAAGUCAGACGCUUCACCCACUGAGCCACCCAGGCGCCCAGUCCUUCAUUCCUUUUUUUUGCUGGGCCAUAUUCAGUUGUAGAUACAUACCACAUUUUGUUUGAUGAUAGACAUUUGAGUCAUUUCGACCUUUUGGCUAUGGUGCUACUGUGAACAUAUAUAUGCACAAGUUUUUAUUUGGACAUCUGUUUUCAGUUCUUUUGGGUAUGAACCUGGGAGUGGAAUUGCUGGGUCAUAUGCUAGUUCUACGUUGAACUUUUUGAGGAAUUGCCAAACUGUGUUUCCACAGCGGCUGCGCCCCGCGUUCCCACCGGCAACGUAGGAGAGAUCCGAUUUCUCCACAACCUUGCCCACACUUGUUAUCGUCCUUCGCUUACAGUAUAGCCAUCCUGCCAGCUGUAUGGUAUAUCUCAGAGGUUUGAUUUGCAUUGUCCUAAUGACUAAUGAUGUUAAACAUUUUUUAAAGGUAAAUUCUACCCCCCCGCCCCCCCACAUAGGACUCAAACUCACGACUCCAAGAUCGAGAAUUACAGGUUCUACUGACUGAGUCGGUCAGGCGCCCCAACAUCUUUUCAUGAUUGUAUAUCUUCUUUGGGAAAAUGUCUGUUCAAAUCCUCGGCUCAUUUUUAAAUUGGGUUUAUUCGUCUUUGUAUUGUUGAGUUGUAAGAGUUCAUUAUAUAUUCUGGAUGCUAGACCCUUAUCUCUCAUGUGAUUCGUAAAUAUUUUCUAUUCUGUGGCUUUUCCUUCUACUCUCUCUCUCUCUCUCUUUAAUAUUUCUUUUAUUAGAAAGUGUUUAGUUAUUUAUCUGGAGAGAGAGAGAGGGCGCACGCACACGUGGAAGCUGGGGAGGGGCAGAGAGAGAGAGAGAGAGAGAGAGAGAGAAUCCCAAGCAGGCUGUGCUCUGGCAGCACAGAGCCCAAUGAGGGGCUCCAGCUCACAAACCAUGAGAUCAUGACCUGAGCCAAGAUCAAGAGUCAGGUGCCCAACUGACUGAGUCACCCAGCUGCUCCUUCCGUCUACUCUCUUAGAGGUAUUGUUCGCAGCACAAAUGUUUUUAAUGUCGGUGUCAGCCAAUUUCUCUCUUUUCCCCUUGGUCCGUUGUGCUUUUGGUGGUCUGUCUACCUACCUCCUUGACCACAGUAGACGUCUCUAAGCAGUUUUGGUUUUCUUUCUCCCUGAACUUGGAUGCCACCUACCCUGGACUUUCUUCCCUUGACAUUGUUUUAUAGGUUAAGUGGUAAAAAUCCCAAGCACUGGAGACAAUCUGUGUGGGUUCAAAUCCCCACUAGUGUGACCACUUAUCGAUGGUGGCCCUCAGUGACUUCAGUGUCACUUACUGAGUGGGAAGAAUGCUGGGGGUAGGUGAGAGAAAUCGAGAAGGGGAUAGAGGAGGAAGGUAAUGGAUGGAUCUCAUUCCCUGAAUCCUCUUGUAGUAGACUGGACUGAAUGGAGUGGGGCCGAGAAUUCUGGAAGCAGACUUUCCAGGAACGGUCUUGUGCGUAACUUCAGAUCUUCUCAGCCACACCUCAUUUCCAAGCUACAACCAGUGCUUUAAAGCAACAGCAACAACAACGACAACUUUUUUAACGUUUAUUUAGUUUUGAGAGACAGAGUGUGAGCAGGGGAGGGGCAGAGGGAGACACAGAAUCCGAAGCAGGCUCCAGGCUCUGAGCUGUCAGCACAGAGCCCGACGCGAGGCUCGAACUCACGAACCGUGAGAUCAUGGCCUGAGGUGAAGUCAAACGCUCAACCGACUGAGCCACCCAGGCGCCCCCGGCUAUAGCCCAUCCUAGGCAGGCUUUGUCAACUUCAUGUAGGCACAACCUGAUUGCCCCUUGCCCGCACCUUGUACCUUUCACUUUUUGCUCUGGGGUUCCUCUGACACCCCAGUGGGAGACAUUGUGGGACCUUACUCAGCGCUAACACAUGUGCAUCCUAAAAGGGGGUGGCCUAGGGAACCAUCAGUGACCAAUAGGGAUGGGAGCUGAUGAACGAACAAACGUCUCUCGUUCUGUUUCCCCAAAGGGUACCAAAGACAGGGUGAAGGAUACUGAGGGUAUAGGACAACAGCUGUCCACUUUUUUCUACAAAAUCAGAACCUAUAGAAGGAUUCCAGGAAGCUACACUUGUAACAAGCCCUAUGGGUGAUUCCUACACAUACAGAGAAGGCUCUUGUCUGGCUCUUGUCAUCAGCCAGGAUGGCUAGUGGAUGCUGGGCGACAGAACGCUCUCUUCCACGCGGUGAUUAAGGAACCGGUGCUCCUCCUGUCCGGAGUGCUGCUGGUUUCUAGACUUUGGAGUCCUCCUCUGGCUUCUCUGCAUCCGGCCAAAGGCAAGAGAGGAAAGGUGGAUGUGCAGGGGUGCUAAGGCUGGCCUGUUGGGGGCCCUUUUUACCUUCACUGAAAUUCCAUUGGUUGGUACUCAGUUACAUGGCCAUUAGCCCAACUGUAGGCUGGGAUAUGUGUUCUCUGUGCCCAGGAGGAAAAGGGAAUGGGGUUGACACACCUGUGGCAUUGUCUUGGCUAUACCAGAACACUGAGAUGACACAUACUACAUUUUGCAAGUGUGGUAUUAUUGUCUUUUUAAAUUUCUUUUUAUGUUUUUUAAAGUUAAAAAAUAUUUAUUUAUUUAUUUAUUUAUUUAUUUAGAGUGCAUAAGUAGGGGAAGGGGAGAGAGAGAGAGAGAGAGAGAGAGAGGGAGAGAGAGAGAGAAUCCUAAGCAGGUUCCACGCUGUCAGCACAGAGCCCAAUGUGAGGCUCGAACUCAUGAACCAUGAGAUCAUGACCUGAGCUGAAAUCAAGAGUCAGAUGCUUAAGUGACUGAGCCACCCAGGUGCCCCACAAACAUGAUAUUUUCAAGUCCUCUGUAGGUUUGUGGCCAUAGAAGGACGCAGAGUGGUGUAGUGAUCGAGAGCAUGGCCUCGAAGUAAACUACCAGCAUCCAAAUCCCAGCUCUACCAUUUACCUGUUGUGACCCUGGGCACGUAACAAUGUCUGUGCCUUAGUUUCCUCAUUGUUAAAGGGGGAUGACAAUAGAAAUGGAUAGGGUUUGUGUGAGCAUCCGAUGAUGUAAUAUAUGUAAAAUACUUAGAAUUGUGUAUGGAACAUAAUUAACAACAUGUAAGUGCUAAAUAAGUUGAAAAAAAUUAGACUAGUAACAAAGGGACCUAAUGUCUCCUUCGGUACAUUGUAAUUUGGAUCGGCUGUCAUUCACGUGGAGAAUGGCUCUUUUAGUUCAACUGUAAAAAUGCUCAUUGAGCAACUACUCAUCGUAAUGUGCCAGGUAUGACCAUAGAAUCUGAAUGAGCAAGCUUCUCACUCAAUCAAAGGAAAUGACAUGUUCUGUGACUCUUAAUCUGUGGUCACAUCAGCAUUAUGAUUUUGGUUUCCACGCGGCACAUCCUCCAUGGCUAUUCCUGGGGCCCUCAGAGUGGAAAGUGACACUGGCACCAGAGGGCUCCUUCUCCUCCUCUGUCCACAUCGACCAGACGGUGUCAGUGCCACUCCCUCAAUAGGUGUUAUUUCUGUCUACUCACAAUGGAGUUUGCUCCCAAUUUGUUUGUACUAACACAUAACCUCUCCAAGUUAUGAUCCANCGGUCUUGUGCGUAACUUCAGAUCUUCUCAGCCACACCUCAUUUCCAAGCUACAACCAGUGCUUUAAAGCAACAGCAACAACAACGACAACUUUUUUAACGUUUAUUUAGUUUUGAGAGACAGAGUGUGAGCAGGGGAGGGGCAGAGGGAGACACAGAAUCCGAAGCAGGCUCCAGGCUCUGAGCUGUCAGCACAGAGCCCGACGCGAGGCUCGAACUCACGAACCGUGAGAUCAUGGCCUGAGGUGAAGUCAAACGCUCAACCGACUGAGCCACCCAGGCGCCCCCGGCUAUAGCCCAUCCUAGGCAGGCUUUGUCAACUUCAUGUAGGCACAACCUGAUUGCCCCUUGCCCGCACCUUGUACCUUUCACUUUUUGCUCUGGGGUUCCUCUGACACCCCAGUGGGAGACAUUGUGGGACCUUACUCAGCGCUAACACAUGUGCAUCCUAAAAGGGGGUGGCCUAGGGAACCAUCAGUGACCAAUAGGGAUGGGAGCUGAUGAACGAACAAACGUCUCUCGUUCUGUUUCCCCAAAGGGUACCAAAGACAGGGUGAAGGAUACUGAGGGUAUAGGACAACAGCUGUCCACUUUUUUCUACAAAAUCAGAACCUAUAGAAGGAUUCCAGGAAGCUACACUUGUAACAAGCCCUAUGGGUGAUUCCUACACAUACAGAAAGUUUGCAAAACACCGAAUUAGGCCAUUUUCAGGAGGAAUUUACAUUCUAAAGGGAGCGAAGGUUAUAAUUCUGGCUCAUGUGAACCUUCCCUUGUGUCCCACAGAGAAGUAGUAUGUGACUCGAGACUUCUUCCCAUCUUUGUCUUGAUGGGUGGUUCUCUUCUGACUGCUUUCUGGGGAUCAGGUUCACCCUGCGUGUGCACAUGAACUUCCUUCUCAGUCUCUGAGUAAGACAACUUCUUUCUUCCUAAGGAAGGCUCCACCCCUUUCCACAGGGGGAGAUUUUGCUUCUGUGUUCCUUCCUGCAUCCUGUUGUCCAGAGUGGGUCCUGGGCUUCGGUGGGAAGGUCGCUGAUGUUCACUUCCUGCCAGGCCGGCAAGCUCUGGGUGAUGGCCCUGGCACCCAGAGCAGAGACGAGUGUGGUGGGUUGCCCGCUGGUUCCCUUGUUAGGUUUCUUCUUAAGUAAGCACAUCUUUCAACCCCCACUGUCAAAGUUUCUGGAGGCAGUAAGUAUACAUCUGUAUCUAAAAAGACAUCCCCCUGCCCAUUUGCAUGGCUCUCAACUUAUCUUUUCAGAUGAAAUUCCUUCCUGCGUCGCCUGGGUCCAUUAUCGAUCCACGUUUGCACAAGUGGGGGUAGGGCAGAGAGAGAGGGAGAGAAAGAAUCCUAAGUGGGCUCUGUGCUGUCAGUGUGGAGCCCGAUGUGGGGCUCAAUCUCACAAACCCCGAGGUCCUCACUUGAGCCCAAAUCCAGAGUUGGAUGCUUAACCCACUGAGCCACCCAAGUGCCCCUAGCCAUAUCUACCUUUUUUUUUUUUAAUGUUUAUUUUUGAGAGAGAGACAGAGUGCAAGCAGGGGAGGGACAGAGGAUCGGAAGCAGGAUCUGCGCUGACAGCAGCAAGCCUGAUGUGGGGCCUGAACUCACAAACUGUGAGAUCAUGACCUGAGCCAAAGUCAGAUGCUCAACCAACUGAGCCACUCAGGUGCCCCCAUACCUACUUUUUUUUUAGACUUUUUUUUUAAAUGUUUAUUUACUUUUGAGAGAGAGAGAGAGCACAAGUGGGGGAGAGGCAGAGAGAGAGGGACACACAGAAUCCAAAGCAGGCCCCUGGGCCGAAGUCUGCUGCUUAACCAUCUGAGCCACCCAGGCACCCUGCCCCCAUACCUACUUUUAUUAGCUGCUUGGUUAAUUGCCCAGGGAGUGGUACCAGCAGUCAUUAAAGUCUUUCCAUUUACAGUCUACCUCUGAUAACGUUGACAGUGACGGGAUUUGGGGAUUCGAGGACCAAUAUAACGUAGUGGAUCUGGUUUUGGCCUCGGGCAGAAGAAUGGGCUCCACAAUUUCUGUAAGAGGGACCAUGCUUUUCCCCUGCUUGGUUCCCAGUUACUCCAGGAUAAAGUCCAAACUUACUACAUACAAGUCUUUCCUGAUCUGACCCCUGCUUGUUUCCUGCAUCAUUUAGAACUUUUCCAUUGCAGAUGAUAGAAACCAAAUGCAAACUGGGUCAAGUGAAAAAGAGAAAGCAUUGGCCCAUGUAUCAGAAAAACCCCGAGCUGACUUCAGGCAUCGCUGGAUUCAGGAGCACACAUGAUAUUUUCAGGAAUGUCAUAUCUCUCCAUCUCCGGGUUCGAUCUUCUGCCUUGGGUUUGUUUUCAGGCAGAAUCCACUAUGUGGUGGCGAAGAUGAACAUCACAGCUGAUGUGGAGAACAAAGGCAAAAGAAAAAGAAAUCAAGCUUCCUUACAACUUAUAGACAGGCAGAGUGACCUUCCUCAAGGAGCUCAGCUGCCUCAAUGUCAAUACAUUGCUAGAGGCAAAAGGCAACCUUAGUUUGACAUUAGCCUGACUUCCAGGAUCUUGUAAAAACUCCCUUUGGAAACUUCCUUUCUCUCUCCCCCACGAAGAUAUAUGUUAACAAUCAUCCUGUAAACAUAGGGCCCUCUGAUAUACAUCUGAGGGGUCUCACAACUAAGAGUUUACUGGGUUGUAGUAAAUGACCUGUUCCUAACAACAGCUAGCCCCUCAAGAUCCUGCAAACCUGGCUUCCAAAUUCCUUAGAGGUUUACACUAUCCCUAACCCCCUCCCAACUUGAAAGUAUAUAAUCAGUCGCUGCUCACAAUCUGGGUGCAACCCUUUCUGCCCAUGGGUCCUGUCCCCGUGCUUUAAUAAAACCGUCCUUUUUGUACCAGAGACAUCUCAAGAAUUCUCUCUUGACUGUUCACUCCCGGACCCCAACAUUUCCCAUCAUUUCGGUGCCCAAUGUGCAGCCUGAGUCUUCUCAUCUGGACUCCGAGCCUUAAAACCCAACUGGGGACGAUUUCCUAGGGAAGUCGGCCGUGAAGACCACGUGUGUUAGAACGUUGCUCAGACCAUGAUGCAUUUCUAUCUUUACUGAUUUCUGUCAAUGUCCCCUACUAACUACUUAAAUUACAAAACUGGGCAAUUUUCCUUUGUAAAACUUUUCUAGUGUUCUCCAUGGGUUAAAAACAGCAGGUUCGUCAUGGCAUGGCACAAUACAGUAUGUCAGUCCAUUCACCAGCACCCAUUUGCAGCCUAGGGUGCAACAGGGAAGUGGAGGGAUGUUGGCAAUCCCUCCUACUGGGCCUUUAUGGCAGGCGGGAUGGCGAUCAGUAGUGAUUUCGUUUGAGGGAUGCCUUGGGUCACUUUGACACCAGGAACCUCUGACAUAUCCUGCAUGUGGGAUGCCACCCUGGAGUCAGGGGGAAUUUUUUGGAUAAUGGACCUUCUUUAGCCUUCUUCUUUGGUUCUCAAGGACUCUCCCUUGGGAUGCCUUUUAACCCACUGGGAAUAAUUCAUAUUGUAAAAGUUAAAAAGUCUGAUCUUCUGUAACACUGCAUGACCUUAGUAUGAUUAUCCGUCAGAUCUCUUCUGCAGGAAAUGGGGCAAAUGGACUGAGAUACUCUAUGUCCAGGACUUCAUGGCCCUAAAUCAUGACCCCAAUCUAAGGUCCCCUUGCAAACUGUGUUUGGCCACAAACCUGGCUGAUAAACUCCCUUCUUGCGUACUGGAUGAUAAUUAAAUAGGCCUCCUCCUGAUAGAAUCCAGGUUGCUGGAGGAAACACAGGUUCUCAUUUGGGGGUCAAAGGAAGGGGACGCUGACCUUCUUUCACUGUUCCUCCUCCUAAUAGAUGCAGGGGCUUCCUCAUUCAUUUCCCUGGUUAAUGACUAUGAUCAUUGGAGCCAACUGUGGUUAGUCUACCUCGGGCCAGGGACUUUAAGGAAUAUUCCCAAGCAGCUGCUAAAACUCCCUUUGUUUGAAGGAAGUUCCCUGUGUUCUCUGGCCCAACGUGGAUUGCCUAAUUCCAUUUGUUGAGGGAAAAGCAAGCAAACAAAUAUGGCAUCUGCUCAUCUGUCCGAGCUGACAAACUCUAGAACAAGGAAUCCUCUUUCUCUGUCCUCUGGCACCACCUCGAAUCUUCUGCCUCCUCCACCACCUUGAAUCUUCUGCCUCCUCCUCCCCCUCCUCCUGUUUCUGCACCCCUUGGGUGAUACCUGCAUAACUGGCUCCUAUAUCAUCCUUGGUGCCUCUGGCACUCUCAACUCCUGCUCCUCCUCCCCUCACUGUCAAGGAGCAAAGACCCUUGGACUUGCCCCACCCACUUCAGAUUUCCCCACUGGUGUCCCAGGUAAAAUCUGACAAUGGGGAGCAAAUUCAUUGACUUUUAAGUGGACCUAGGUGGAACAUAGUUCGGUACUUAAACUAAUUUAAGUUUGUUGGGUUAAUUAAUAUGGACAUGUCUUUAGAGUUACCAGCAUUACAUAUGAAAUUUUUAUUCUACCCUGGCUUACUGAAGGUCAAAUAAGCCCGUGUUAUCUCUGUUGCAGUUUGUCGGCAAAACGAUGACUUAAGAUGAUGGUUGAUUUUGUCUAUAUUAAAGUUUUCUUGGGUAAUUGGUAAGACAGUUUGAAGCUUUGCUUGGAUGAUAAAUCGGAUUGAAUUCAUUGGACAUCUAAGUCUUUUCCAAAGGAGAUAAUAUACUAAAGCAUUGAUUACUGAACAUAAGAUUUCUCUGCUUUUGACUUCUUAUUGCAAAGCAACUAAGAAUAUCUGAAUGUUGGAAAACAUGCUUUGUGCUUAAUUGAUUCAUAAAUUUGCCAUCCAAAGAAUUCUGGUGUAACAGUUGACAGUUGGUUACUACUUAGUUUUCACUGGAGACUAAGGUUUCUAAGAGUUAAAAUUCUGCUAAAUGUAAUUAAGACUGAUGGAAACAAGGGAAGCAAUUCUGUAUGUAGGAAAGUAGAAAAUGUGUAAGAAAGAUGUAAGGAAUGGGAAUACAUUUUUAUCUGAUUAUUUUUUUUUAUUUAAAUGUUAGUUAACAUACAGUGCAAUAUUGGUUUCAGAAGUAGAAUUCAGUGACUCAUUACUUACAUACAACACCCAGUGCUCAUCACAACAGGUGCUCUCCUUAGUACCCAUCAUCCAUCUAGCCCGUCUCCCACCCACCUCCUCUCCAUCAACCCUCAGUUUGUUCUCUAUUGUUAAGAGUCUCUUGCAAUUUGUUUCCCUUCCUUCUUUCCCCCACCAUAUGUUCAUCUCUUUUGUUUCUUAAAUGGCACAGAUGAGUAAAAUCAUAUGAUAUUUAUCUUUCUCUGGUUGGCUUAUUCCAUUUAGCAUGAUACAUUCUAGCUCCCUCCAUGUCAUUGCAUAUGGCAAGAUUUCAUUCUUUUUCAUGGCUGACUUACACACACACCACAUCUUCUUUAUGUGUUCAUCAGCCGAUGGACACAUUUGGGCUCUCUCCAUAGUUUGACUAUUGUUGAUAAUAUGCUCUAAACACUGGAGUGCAUGUAUCCCUUCAAAUCUGUAUUUUUGUAUCCUUUGGGUAAAUACCUAACAUUGCGAUUGCUAGAUCAUAGGGUAGCUCUAUUUUUAGUUUUUUUGAGGAAACUCCAUACUGUUCUCCAGAGUGGCUGCACCAGUUUUCAUUCCUACCAACAGUGCAAGAGGUUCCCCUUUUUUCCUGUUGUUUCUUGUGUUAAUUUUAGCCAUUCUAAUAGGUGUGAGGUGGUAUCUCAUCGUGGUUUUGAUUUGUAGUUCCCUGAUGAGGAGUGAUGUUGAGCAUCUUUUCAUGUGUUUGUUAGCCAUCUGGAUGUCUUCUUUGGAAAAGUGUCUAUUCAUGUUUUCUGCCCAUUUCUUAACUAGUUUGUUUUUUGGGUGUUAAGUUUGAUAAGUUCUUAUAGAUUUUGGAUACUAACCAUUUAUCAGAUAUGUCAUUUACAAAUAUCUUCUCCCAUUCCAUAGGCUGCCUUUUAGUUUAGUUGAUUGUUUCCUUCUCUGUGCAGAAGUUUGUUUUUUUUUUUUUAAGUUUAUUUAUUUAUUUUGAGAGAGAGAGACAGCAGGAAGGGGCAGAGAGAAAGGGAGAGAAAGAAUCCCAAACAGGUUCUAUGCUGUCAACAUAGAGCCUAAUGCAGGGCUCUAUCCCACAAACUGUGAGAUCAUGACCUGAGCCAAGAUGAAGAGUCAGAUGCUUAAUCGACUGAGCUACCCAGGAAUUCCCAGAAGCUUUUUGUCUUGAUGAAGUCUCAGUAGUUCAUGUUUGCUUUUUUUUCCCUUGCAUUCAGUGACAUGUCUAGUAAGGAGUUGCUCCAGCCGAGGUCAAGGAGGUAGCAAAUUCUCCUCUAGGAUUUUGAUGGUUUCUUAUCUCAGAUUUAGGUCUUUCAUUCAUUUUGAAUUUAUUUUUGUGUAUGGUGUAAGAAAGUGGUCCACUUUCAUUCUUCUGCAUGUUGGUGUCUAGUUUUCCCAACUCCAUUUGUUGAAGAGACUUUUUUCCAUUGGAUAUUCUUUUCUGCUUUGUCAAAGAUUAGUUGACCAUAUAGUUGUGGGUCUACUUCUAGGUUUUCUAUUGGGAAUACAUUUUUGUUGAAGGAAAAAGAAAGUAAUUUUGUCCUAAAAUGAGAUUGGUUGUUUGGAGAGAAAUGGCUUGGGGGGGAAAUCUGAAUGCAAAAGACAAUUGUAGGAGUUUUGUGAAUGGAAAUCAUUGGAAAGGAAUUUUAUGUAUGGUCAGGAUGAACCAAGGUUGAAAUAAAUGGAUUUAAUUUAUUUUAUUUUAUUUUCUUGAGAGAGGGGGAGAGAGAAUGAGUGGGGCAGAAGCAGAGAGAGAGGGUGAGAGAAUCUUAAGCAAGCUCCACUCCCAUCAUGGAGCCUGACUUGGGACUCCAUCUCAUGACCAUGAGAUCAUGACCUGAGCUGAAAUCAAGAAUGGCACGCUUAACCAACUGAGCCACCCAGGUGCUUAAACAUAAAUGGAUUUUAAAAAUACACUGGUAUAGGUGCACCUGGGUAGCUCAGUCGGUUGAACAUCUGACUCUUGAUUUUGGCUCAGAUCAUGAUCCCAGGGUUGUGGGAUCAAGCCCUGUGUUGGGCUCUGCACUGAGCAUGGAGGCUGCCUAAGAUGCUCUCUCUCUCCCUCUGCCUUUCUCCCCCGCUGGUGCUCCCUCUGUCUCCCUCUCUCUCUCUCUCUCUCUCAAGAUAAAAAUAAAAAUAAAUGCACUAGUAUAAGAUUAAAUUUCUGCUUUCUCUCUAUUAAAAAGACAAUGUUUUCUUGGAUUGUUUGUCUGCCCUUGAUAAGAAAAUGUAAAUAAAGUUAUUUUCUCUUUGCCCAGGAAAACCAGUUUCUAUGUUUGUGUCACAGAAAUAACUAAGUUUCCUUGUCAUUUACAUCAUAAUGAACUCUCAGAUCGUUAACAAUGUCCAUUUCCAAGGUUUUUUAUUUUUAUUUUUUGUCAUUUAUAGUUAUUAUUCUGAUGCUCUUGCAAAAUAAGUUUCACUUUCAAGGAGAUUCAUAAGAAGGGCUUUUGACAAAUACAGGUUUUUUAUAUCUUUAAGGUCAUGAGACUAAAAUAGGUAAGAAUUUCCAGAACUAAAAAGCUGCAUUCAAACUGAACAAGAAUUAGUAACAUGGGACUAAAUAAAUUGAGGAAGAUGCUUAUAAUUUUGUGACUCUUGUUUGAAACAUUGCUGGUUCUCUAAUGUUUGCUCUUGCAGAUUAAGGAAAUUUUCUCUUAUCUAUGACUUACAUAAAUAUGAUAAAAUAUUCAUUUAUGAAUGAAUUGAAGCUUUUUAACUUUCCUCUCUACCUGAACCCUCUAGAAUUCAGAAAAGUCUCAGUGAGUUUUCUUUCUUCCAUGGCAAUCGUGGUUAUUGGCAUAAGUUCAAUAAGAAUUUGUUCUCGUUAAGGACACCAUUGGAAACAUUGGUUAUUUUACCAAGGCUUUGACUGGAAUGUCAUAUUUGAGACACAUGCAUAGACCCAGAUAGGACCAAACAGCUUUAAGGAAUUAAGAUUGACCUUAUGGAACCAAUAAAGCCCCCUGGAAUGUUGGCCUGAUACCUUGCUUACAAGAGUUUGUGGCACCCUUACCGGGUGAAUAAAGAUUGUCACUUCCUGGCAGGUGCAGGAAUCUCAGGAUAUUUUGGGGACCUCAAGAAGAGGAAUUCACCCAAAUCUGCAAAUAUUUGUAGGCAUGUCUCAUGGCAAGUACUUGGCUUAGCUUCUGGCCUAGAGGAGCUACUAAGAGUUCUACUUAUGAAAAGUUCUAGCAAAGCAUAUUUUAACAACAUCUAUAUGACCAGUUACUAUUCUUGUUGAACUGAUGUAAAUAAUUAGGCCAGGUUUGUUAAAUUUGGACUUGUUUUGCAAAUGAAUUAGUCUUGAUUUGGCUGUCUCUGGAAAUAAGGGUGAUUAUAAAAAGAAAAAUCUUUCUUUCUUUCUUUCUUUCUUUCUUUCUUUCUUUCUUUCUUUCUUUCUUUCUUUCUUUCUUUCUUUCUUUCUUUCUUUCUUUCAGAGGCUUCAUGCCCAGUGCAGAGUCCAAGAUGGGGCUUGAACUCACGAACCUGAGAUCAAGAUCUGAGCUGAAAUAAAGAGUUGGAUGCCUAACUGACCGAGCCAUACAGGUGGCUGAAACAAAAUUAUGUUUCUUUUAAAAAAAAAAUUUUUUUUUAACGUUUAUUUUAUUUUUGAGACAGAGAGAGACAGAGCAUGAACGGG
rnacentral:lncRNA from 1 species